GGAAAUCCGGGGCCAGAGUGCGGGGUAAGAAGGGGGGGGGAAGAGGUAAUAGGAAUUACUGGGCGGAAGGAGGAUGUAGGUUGGGUUGGAAGGUGGAAGUGAAAGCCUAUGGCUUAACCAUAGAACUGAUUCCAAAACUACUUACCUAGAAUAUGGGAGAGGUAGAUGGAAUUUCUGGUGUAGGGGUAAAAUCCGUAGAGAUCAGAAGGAAUACCGAUUGCGAAGGCGAUCUACUGGAACAUUAUUGACGCUCAGAUGCGAAAGCGUGGGGAGCAAACAGGAUUAGAUACCCGUGUAGUC
rnacentral:rRNA from 1 species